UCUUCCUCAUUUUGCAUUGUCCAUUUUCAUCUUCGCUGGAAGGUGCCGCCAAGGGUUUUCCUGUAGGCGAUAAUCCGCAGUUUUGUCGAUUUUGAGCCUCCAUUUGUGCCACCAUGGUCGAUUUUCUGGUCUCUUUUGAGCUAGGAGUGAUUCUUCCCCGGCCACUAUGCUGCACUUCACAUUUUUGAGGGUUUGUAUGAGCACCAACUGGAGGAAAUUUGGGCUCCGUUGCUGUGUGUUGGGCGUGGUUUUGGAAGGAUGAAGGGCGUAUUUUCUGCACCUUUCGAAGGCAUUUUUUUGAAAGCAUUACACUGGGAUUUUUGGUAAAAUGUGAAAAGCUGCAAAUUUGAGAAGCGACCAUUUUCUUUUGAUGAUUCGAAGUCGAAUCUAGGCCCAAAAGAAAUUAUACUUCUGCCGAUUCUACUAUUGGGCAAGAUUUUCUUAUUUCUGGGCGGAUUUCGCUGAGGGUUUAAAAAGAAUUUUUUGGACAGUGUUAUUCCGCCAUUACCUGCUGCCAUAGAUACCGGAAGGAAGGCAGAUGCAGACAAGGACAAAGCGGCAAGACAAAGGCAACAUCAAGGCUACUCCAACCGUACCAGUCAUUCAUACUCUCAACAUGUUCUCUUUUAUUUUGUACUCAUGUAUACAUGCCUAUGUAUUUCCUUCUUGCACCUGAUGCUUGUAGCUAGUCUCACGGCUCUUUGUGUGGGAUGCAUGCUUGAAUAUCAAUAAAAAUACUUCCUUUUUUAGAUGA